GAACUCACUGCGUACUUUGAUUUCUUGAUGGCUGACUAUGAGUACUGAAAACUCCAACCCGGCAGCGUGUAGUGCUGUGUGCCUCUCCUUAUAGAGUUAAACUCAGCCAGGCCUGCCCGAGAGAAACCCUAAACUGGCGCCACAUUCCUGCUGGAACUCUGUCACAGUCUCAGCUCAAACUGGCCUCCAGAUGGACAAGGUGAAGAGACAGAGGUCAUACCCAUGAGGAAGAGGCUCUUGGCAGACAUGGAAUCUACUGUCACCUUAUUCUUGGAUUCUUAAGCCUCGUAAACACUGAGUGAGUCCAGCUGGACCUGUCAAUCACCUCGCCUGGAGACUACCCCUCAGGAAAACUGAUUCACCUGAAGAUGUUACAGAGAUGGGGGAAAUAAUUAUUCUCUUAAUGAGAUAACAUGUGUGUACCUCCCUGAGAAGUCCCUCCCUCAGUCCAGCUGUUUGCAGAUCUUUCCUACUAAGACAGCCUGCUUUCCCCAGUUCUAACUCCAAAACUGUAACUUCUCCUUUCCCCUUGUCUCAUCUUUGGCUAAAGGCCAAAACCUCCUCCUGCUUCCAACCUCUGUACACUCUCUUUCUUUAACCCCCUCCAAGCCCCAGUUACUUGGCGCCCUUCCUUGCAGAACCUGCCAACUCUCCUGAAACCUACCUCGGAAGGCAUGUCAUGCUCUCCUCUCCAGCUCCCCUUUCCAGGCAGCAGUUGAGGUUUGUAGCUUCCUGACCUUGUGGUUUACUCCUGAGCGCCAAUAAAAGAGUCCACAAGCUUCCAAAAAAAAAAAAAAAAAA
rnacentral:lncRNA from 1 species